rfam:Salmo salar isolate Sally breed double haploid chromosome ssa21, whole genome shotgun sequence.
UGUGCUCAUUACUGUAAGUCGCUCUGGAUAAGAGCGUCUGCUAAAUGAUGUGAA